rnacentral:sRNA from 1 species
UUGGCAGAUUUGGAGCCUGAUGUCCUCUGUUUAUCCACAGAGCAAGGGCAGCAGCAGGGCAGGCUCCUCCCAAAUUUAUCCCCACCUGUGGUUAGCCAAGGUGAUGGUAAUAACGUCCAAUCCUAUCUACAGCUUCCACUGCC